rnacentral:rRNA from 1 species
UACGGGAGGCAGCAGUGGGGAAUAUUGCACAAUGGGCGCAAGCCUGAUGCAGCCAUGCCGCGUGUAUGAAGAAGGCCUUCGGGUUGUAAAGUACUUUCAGUCGUGAGGAAGGUGUUAAGGUUAAUAACCUUAGCAAUUGACGUUAGCGACAGAAGAAGCACCGGCUAACUCCGUGCCAGCAGCCGCGGUAAUACGGAGGGUGCGAGCGUUAAUCGGAAUUACUGGGCGUAAAGGGCACGCAGGCGGUUAAUUAAGUUGGAUGUGAAAUCCCCGGGCUUAACCUGGGAAUGGCAUUCAAGACUGGUUAGCUAGAGUCUUGUAGAGGGGGUAGAAUUCCAUGUGUAGCGGUGAAAUGCGUAGAGAUGUGGAGGAAUACCGGUGGGCGAAGGCGGCCCCUGGGACAAAGGACUGACGCUCAUGUGCGAAAGCGUGGGGAGCAAACAGGAUUAGAUACC